CAAGUUACCAAUUAUGCCUCCUGAAACCAUGACUGUUGACAUAUUGAAAAAUGUCAUGGGGUUGUGAAGAAGGUAGCAUAUGGGUUGCUAAGGCUCAUCCUUCUAAAGGGUCCUCUAAGCAAUUGUGUUUUCAUAGGGGAUUAUGAUAGACCGGCCCUAGAUGAUACAUAUCAGAAGGGUAGAAGGCUUAGACUCUUACAGGUCCUUCUGGGAAGAAGGUUUUCAGUCUGAUUACAUGCUCCAAAGAUCUUAAAGAUAGUAGCAAAAUUUGGUUGGGCUGAAGACAAAUCAGUAUGGUAUACCGGAUGCUUAUCAAGGUUUUUCACACGCACUUCAAUCACGAGUUGGGGCUAUCAAUGGGGUUUUCUUUCCAGUUUGUCUCUGAAGGUUAAUUGUCCUAUUAAACAUGGUGCAGUUAAUGGUUGAUUUGAGGAGAUCACAUUCCAAGUUGAAGGGUAUAUUGAAAAUAGUGCAGCAGAUGAAGCCCCAACAACAUUGGUUGUACAAAUAUCUAGGCUCGGCGAGAUUAACCAGAUUUAUGUCCUGAAAGUUUAAGGUUUAAGGACAUACAUUAUGACCAUGCUAAUGAGACAUCCAACCUUUCAACCAUCAAGGAGGACAAGAGAACUGUUAAUGUCGAUGACCAAAGUGAUCUCAAUACCAGAAAGCUUCAUUCUAGCCCAGCGUCAGAUGAUGUCUCUUAGGCUACAAGAUUGAAAUUAGGCAAGAACUAAGAUGCUUCAGACCAAAGAACCAAAUGCAGUUAAGAGAGCUUAGAGACCAACAACUUGGGGGAAAACCAAAAUUUACUUGCUUAACUCCCGAAACUGAUAUUAGAGCAUGGGAAAGAUAGGGUUUUAAAGGGUUUUCUUCCAAGCACGCAGGUCCAUUGCAAUGCUUUGGGAUCAAUUUGCAUGACAGGAUAGCAUAAUGACUUUGAUGGGAUCCAAUUGUUCCCUGAAAUAACUGUUAAAUAGUUAUGUAUUAUGUGGUGUUAAAUCAUACAAUAAUAUAUAUUAAUUUAUAAUUAUAUUUUUAA